UGAGGGAAAGUAUUGCACAAUGGAGGAAACUCUGAUGCAGCAACGCCGCGUGGAGGAUGACGCAUUUCGGUGUGUAAACUCCUUUUAUGAGUCAAGAAAAUGACGGUAGCUCAUGAAUAAGCACCGGCUAACUCCGUGCCAGCAGCCGCGGUAAUACGGAGGGUGCAAGCGUUAUUCGGAAUCACUGGGCGUAAAGGACGCGUAGGCGGGAUGCCAAGUCUGAUGUGAAAUCCUAUGGCUUAACCAUAGAACUGCAUUGGAAACUGGUGACCUAGAGUAUGGGAGGGGGAGAUGGAAUUAGUGGUGUAGGGGUAAAAUCCGUAGAUAUCACUAGGAAUACCGAAAGCGAAGGCGAUCUCCUGGAACAAUACUGACGCUAAGGCGUGAAAGCGUGGGGAGCAAACG
rnacentral:rRNA from 1 species